rnacentral:rRNA from 1 species
UACGUAGGGUGCGAGCGUUAAUCGGAAUUACUGGGCGUAAAGCGUGCGCAGGCGGUGAUGUAAGACAGAUGUGAAAUCCCCGGGCUCAACCUGGGAACUGCAUUUGUGACUGCAUCGCUGGAGUGCGGCAGAGGGGGAUGGAAUUCCGCGUGUAGCAGUGAAAUGCGUAGAUAUGCGGAGGAACACCGAUGGCGAAGGCAAUCCCUGGGCUGCAC